rnacentral:snRNA from 1 species
GCCGGCUGGGGUUAGUACAAGCAGACAAUCCCCUCGCCUUUUACUAGGGGAUUCCGUGUACUGGCCCUGUCUCAAAGCCGGAUUGGGAAUUUUUCAGCGAUUAGCUUCGUCAGGAAGCUC